UAUUUAGUACAGUAACACAGGUACAGGGAAGGUCAGGUGCCAGAGGAAUAUUUAGUACAGUAACACAGGUACACGGAAGGUCAGGUGCUAGAGGAAUAUUUAGCACAUUAACACAGGUAUAGGGAAGGUCAGGUGCUAGAGGAAUAUUUAGUACAGUAACACAGGUACAGGGAAGGUCAGGUGCCAGAGGAAUAUUUAGUACAGUAACACAGGUACAGGGAAGGUCAGGUGCCAGAGGAAUAUUUAGCACAUUAACACAGGUAUAGGGAAGGUCAGGUGCUAGAGGAAUAUUUAGUACAGUAACACAGGUACAGGGAAGGUCAGGUGCCAGAGGAAUAUUUAGCACAUUAACACAGGUAUAGGGAAGGUCAGGUGCUAGAGGAAUAUUUAGUACAGUAACACAGGUACAGGGAAGGUCAGGUGCCAGAGGAAUAUUUAGCACAUUAACACAGGUAUAGGGAAGGUCAGGUGCUAGAGGAAUAUUUAGUACAGUAACACAGGUACAGGGAAGGUCAGGUGCCAGAGGAAUAUUUAGCACAUUAACACAGGUAUAGGGAAGGUCAGGUGCUAGAGGAAUAUUUAGUACAGUAAAACAGGUACAGGGAAGGUCAGGUACCAGAGGAAUAUUUAGUACAGUAACACAGGUACAGGGAAGGUCAGGUGCUAAAGGAAUAUUUAGUACAGUAACACUGGUACAGGGAAGGUCAGGUGCUAGAGGAAUAUUUAGUACAGUAACACUGGUACAGGGAAGGUCAGGUGCCAGAUGAAUAUUUAUUACAGUAACACAGGUACAGGGAAGGUCAGGUGCUAGAGGAAUAUUUAGUACAGUAACACAGGUACAGGGAAGGUCAGGUGCCAGAGGAGUAUUUAGUACAGUAACACAGGUACAGGGAAGGUCAUUUACCAGAGGAAUAUUUAGUACAGUAACACAGGGAAGGUCAGGUGCUAGAGGAAUAUUCAGUACAGUAACACAGGUACAGGGAAGGUCAGGUGCCAGAGGAAUAUUCAGUACAGUAACACAGGUACAGGGAAGGUCAGGUGCUAGAGGAAUAUUCAGUACAGUAACACAGGUACAGGGAAGGUCAGGUGCUAGGGGAAUAUUUAUUACAGUAACACAGGUACAGGGAAGGUCAGGUAGUAGAGGAAUGUUCGGUACAGUAACACAGGUACAGGGAAGGUCAGGUGCCAGAGGAAUAUUCAGUACAGUAACACAGGUACAGGGAAGGUCAGGUGCUAGGGGAAUAUUUAUUACAGUAACACAGGUACAGGGAAGGUCAGGUGCCAGAGGAAUGUUCGGUACAGUAACACAGGUACAGGGAAGAUCAGGUGCUAGAGGAAUAUUUAUUAUAGUAACACUGGUACAGGGAAGGUCAGGUGCCAGAGCAAUAUUUAGUACAGUAACACAGGUACAGGGAAGGUCAGGUGCUAGAGGAAUAUUUAGUACAGUAACACAGGUACAGGGAAGGUCAGGUGCUAGAGGAAUAUUUAGUACAGUAACACAGGUACA